rnacentral:piRNA from 1 species
UAACUUUGGACACUAAGUUUGAGAACACAA